GCUUGCAUGUUCUUGGGAAAUACAUGGUUAAUUGUUGGACACUGGGUCGGAUGUAACAUGCAUCAGCUCUACACUGCCCGACGCAAAAACGCAUAUAAAUUGUUUGUCCCCAUUCCUAGGACAGAUUUAGCAUCGUUGCAAAGACCAUAAACGUCUACGAAAUAUUUGUCAAAAUCAAAAUAUUUGAAGCGAAAAUGAGAUGAAGUUUGAAGCAAAAUGGGUGAAGCGAAAACGAGACCAGAAUAUGGACAACCAUUUUGCGUGAAGUCACAUGACAUUUGAGUAGGAAGAACGCAUAGAAAUGUUUUGGUCCCCAGAACAUAUUUAGUAGUGUUAGAAAGAGCAUGCAAUUCUGUACAAUCCGAUGUAAAAAUAAAAAAAUUGUUAUAUAGUUAGUGUCAAAGUUCAAUUUUUCUGUUUGCCGAUUGGUUAAAACCGUGUCACGUGCCGGUCCACAAAACGUCAUGUUCGGCAACCGGUCCGCAAUGAAACAUUUAUUGACCGGUCAAUAAUAAAAUGGGUGCAAUACGCAUGCGUGUCAACCAUGAAGUUCCAAAGUUCAUUUUUAAAACUUUUUACUAAACAUUUACGGAGUUCCAUUUAUCCAGUUUUGGUUUUGGUUUUGGUUUUUGUUUUUUUUUGUUUUUGGUUUUGGUUUCAGUUUUUUUGUUUUUUUUUGUUUUUGGUUUUUUUGUUUUUUUUUCAAAUUAAGUUCACUCCAAUAACCGAUGAAUUAUUCAUACUUUGACACUU